UACAGAGGUCUCAAGCGUUGUUCGGAUUCAUUGGGCGUAAAGGGUGUGUAGGUGGCGCGCUAAGUCGGGGUGUGAAAUUUCGGAGCUUAACUCCGAAACUGCAUUCGAUACUGGCGUGCUUGAGGACUGGAGAGGAGACUGGAAUUCAUGGUGUAGCAGUGAAAUGCGUAGAGAUCAUGAGGAAGACCAGUGGCGAAGGCGGGUCUCUGGACAGUUCCUGACGCUGAGACGCGAAAGCUAGGGGAGCGAACAGG
rnacentral:rRNA from 1 species